GGUGCAAGCGUUAAUCGGAAUUACUGGGCGUAAAGCGUGCGCAGGCGGUUAUGCAAGACAGAGGUGAAAUCCCCGGGCUCAACCUGGGAACUGCCUUUGUGACUGCAUGGCUAGAGUACGGUAGAGGGGGAUGGAAUUCCGCGUGUAGCAGUGAAAUGCGUAGAUAUGCGGAGGAGCACCGAUGGCGAAGGCAAUCCCCUGGACCUGUACUGACGCUCAUGCACGAAAGCGUGGGGAGCAAACAGGAUUAGAUACCCUGGUAGUCAAGGGCG
rnacentral:rRNA from 1 species